GACGAACGCUGGCGGCGUGCCUAAUACAUGCAAGUUGAGCGAUGAAGCUUGGUGCUUGCACCAAUUUGAAGAGCAGCGAACGGGUGAGUAACGCGUGGGGAAUCUGCCUUUGAGCGGGGGACAACAUUUGGAAACGAAUGCUAAUACCGCAUAACAACUUUAAACAUAAGUUUUAAGUUUGAAAGAUGCAAUUGCAUCACUCAAAGAUGAUCCCGCGUUGUAUUAGCUAGUUGGUGAGGUAAAGGCUCACCAAGGCGAUGAUACAUAGCCGACCUGAGAGGGUGAUCGGCCACAUUGGGACUGAGAAACGGCCCAAACUCCUACGGGAGGCAGCAGUAGGGAAUCUUCGGCAAUGGACGAAAGUCUGACCGAGCAACGCCGCGUGAGUGAAGAAGGUUUUCGGAUCGUAAAACUCUGUUGGUAGAGAAGAACGUUGGUGAGAGUGGAAAGCUCAUCAAGUGACGGUAACUACCCAGAAAGGGACGGCUAACUACGUG
rnacentral:rRNA from 1 species